rnacentral:rRNA from 1 species
GACGAACGCUGGCGGCGUGCUUAACACAUGCAAGUCGAACGGUAAGGCCCUUCGGGGUACACGAGUGGCGAACGGGUGAGUAACACGUGGGUGAUCUGCCCUGCACUUCGGGAUAAGCCUGGGAAACUGGGUCUAAUACCGGAUAGGACCACUGCCUGCAUGGGUGGUGGUGGAAAGCUUUUGCGGUGUGGGAUGGGCCCGCGGCCUAUCAGCUUGUUGGUGGGGUGAUGGCCUACCAAGGCGACGACGGGUAGCGGGCCUGGGAGGGUGACCGGCCACACUGGGACUGAGAUACGGCCCAGACUCCUACGGGAGGCAGCGGUGGGGAAUAUUGCACAAUGGGCGCAAGCCUGAUGCAGCGACGCCGCGUGAGGGAUGACGGCCUUCGGGUUGUAAACCUCUUUCAGCACCGACGAAGCGCAAGUGACGGUAGGUGCAGAAGAAGGACCGGCCAACUACGUGCCAGCCGCCGCGGUAA